GGACUGGCCACUCCUCGGCCAGCACUGACGCCAGGAGCCAGCCCAGCUAAGCAGCAGGGCCGUGUGGCCAGCGCAGCAAGUAGAAGAUGCCGUAAAUGACUGUUGCUUUGAGCCAGAGAUUUGGGGAUCGUUUCUCGGGCAUCAUUACUGUGGCCACAGCUAAUGGGGAAGAUCAGAGAACUCAUCUGAGAUGCCUUUACACCUUGGCUGCCAGGAAGCUCAUGGCUUAGAAUGUUGCUCAAAUGCAGGACCUCUCUUGCCCUACUCUUUCUUCCUCUUCCGGUUUCCUGUGGGGCGUCUCAGGGGCAGUGAGAACACCAGUAAGUGUGUGGGUCAACUGCAGGGCUGGCAGACCGUCACCACGUGGAAGUCCCACACUCAUCAGGAGCGUCCCCUGAUGGUAUUGCAUCGGUAUCCGCCCCGGUGGCUGUGACAAGAUGACGCUCUGAGCAUCUCACUCAGGGGGAAGUGAACACGCGCACGGGCGACUCAAGAUGGGCCCGGAUUCUGAAUUCUGAAUAGAGACACGGGGGACAGAAUGCACCUGCAGUUGGCAUGCCGAAGCCACCCCCCCGGGGGGCAGGUGCGCAGGGCUGGCUGUGACGGUCCUCGGCACGGCCACGGGGCUGCCCCUCUCGAGGCCUGAUUUCUGAGCACUUCACUUCACCCCGUGAG